CAGGUGUUUGUGAGCCACCAUGUGGUUGCUGGUAAUUGAGCUCAGGACCUCUGGAAGAGCAGUCAGUGCUCUUAACCUCUGAGCCAUCUCUCCAGUCCUGAGUCAGGAUGACCUUGAACUCACUAUUUUCCUACAGUUCAAGCUAGCAACUCUUUGAUAUGUAUAUCUGAGCUUUACAACAUCCACAUAGUAAACACAUCUCUACAGCAAGAUGAAUUAAUAGAUGUAUUAUCUUAUAUACCUGUUUUUUUGUGACAAAAGCAGCUAAAAUCCACUUAUUUAGUAAAAACCCUAAAUACAAUAUGGUCUUAUUAACUAUAGUACUCAUGCUGCCAUACAUUAAGUCUUUAUAUUUGCUUCUCCUACACAUCUGCUACUUCAGGAUUCCUUUAGAACAGUGUCUCCACUUCAGCACAGUGAAGGUUCCCUUGCAGAGCAAGUGCGAGUCCAUCCUGCUACCUCCUACAUUUCUAGCUUCACUCAAGUCUUGACAGUAUGCAGAGAAACAUAUAAAGAAUAUGCUAAUUGGUACAAAGUUCUAGGCAAGGACAGCCAAGUAGAUGAGCCCAGUUUGUUCUCUUCUGUACAGUUUUGCAUUCCUAUCUAUGCCUAUUUCUAUGGAUGUAUUCCAUUUUCAUGCUGUAUGUUUUGGGUUUUUACUCUGUAUCCUGUAUCUGUAUCCAACUUGAGAAGGAGACUGCAAGUGUAGCAUGGAGAACACACUGUAAUUAUGAAUACAAUGGACAAUUCAGGAACUAUUUUCUAAAAGGUGAAUAGAUCUCAGAAGCAAUCAUUGAAACCCUCCCUAAACCAUCAGGAAUUCAUUAGAGUACAGUGAGGCUUUCUAUGGGCAAAGCCAAUGUCUACCUAGGAGAGAGGAUCUGGGGAUGUCUGUCUGUCUCAACUCAGCCCUUUCAUCAGACCAAACAUACCAAGAAAACUUAGCCUUGUAACUUGUAAAAAGUCACCUAUGGGUAAAAUACUGUUUUCAUAUGAAUACCAUGAGUACUGGGCUUGGUAGUAUACUCAUGUAAUCCUGGCAUUAAAAAGACCAAAGCAAUAGGAUUACAGCUCAGUCUGGGUUGUAUAAGAACCUGUCUAAAAAUGGCUAAUACAUAUUACUUUUACUCAUACUCGCUCUUCUUUCUUUGGAAUAUCCCUGGGUCUCUGAACUCCAUUUGGCUCAACAUCCUGUCUUCUUAUACUCAACUGAGGAACACCUUUGGACAUUUGUAUCUGGAUUUCCUUCAGGCUUGGUGUUUGGUAUUUCUUAUGUAGACCUCCAAACCAUAAUUACAGGUGUUUUUAACCAGAAAUGCCACCCAUUAGCUCUGUCAAGAGGAACAGCUAGUCAACAUGCCACCACAUUCCAAAAACUUGCCUAGGAACUGGCCACAAGCUGAAGUCCCAAGAUCAUCUGGACAUGAAGAAUCACUUCAUAUUUCCAUAAAUGCUAGUUUGGCUGUGUUUGUAAUCCAUGGUACUUGGGAGACUGAGGUGGGAGAAUUACUUGAGUCAAAGAACUGAGUUGACCAUCCUGAACAACAUAGUAUGACCCCAUCUCAAAUCAAAACCAACCAAACACCAGAAAAGAAAUUCAUUGACUUUCUAGUGAACUUGCUGAGGAAAAGGAUUGUAUUGCUAAAUGUUAAGGGAUAAUGUUAUUAAUACUUUAUAUUGAUGGUAUUUUAUUAUUUAAGCCACAAAAAUACUCAUUCUGAAUAACACACAUUCUUGAGUGAACUUUUGGAAUGGGUGAGAUACUUAUAUGUACACAUGUGAUGAGAUAGUAUUUGUGGAGUUUUAGACCAAUAUUGUUGUUCAUAGUAUACUGAUGGUUCACUGUAUAUCUUUUUCAUUGAUUUGUAUAAGAUUGGUGGAUUGGAAUUUACAAGUAAGAUGGUGAAUUAAAAGCUCCAUCUGAGUCAGUGGAUAAAAAUGUUAUGAUAAAAACAUAAUAGAUCCUAUUUAUAUACAAGAAAAACUGAAAAAAUAAAAAGCCAAAGUCUGAAUUUCUCUACAAUGAAGGAGCCAGGUCCACCAGAAAUCAGUUGUGGUACUACUGCCAGCCUGGGCUGUGUAAACACAACCGGAUGGAUAAAAAUUCCAUAUAUAGAACAAGUUGUGAGUAGUAGAAAUGUGGUUUGAAAACCUAAAGAUCACUUCACAUUAAUAAAGGGAUAAUUCAUCAAGAUUAGAAUAUUAUUAACAUUUAUACACCAAAUAUCAGGUACUAUCAGCAAGAAAUUUCAAAACUCUAAUCUGUAGACACAUACUUCAAACUAAAAAUCAACAAAGAAACAGUUUAAGUAAAUAACACCAGAGAGAAAUUGCAUUUAACAGAUACAAAGUAUUCUAUCCAACUAAUAGGGAAUGCACAUUAUUCUCAGCAGCAAAUAGGGCUCUCUUUAAAACUAUGCACAUUAUAGGAUACAAAGCAAAAAAUGAAUUACUUAUAUUUUAUCAGAUAACAGUAGAAUAAAAGCAGCUACACAAGUACUUAGUACUGAGCAAUACAUUUUUGAAUGAACAGUGGAUCAUUGAGGAAAUCGAGGAAAGUUUUUGAAAUCCUAAAAACAAAUGAAAAUUAUGAUAUAACCUACCAAAACUUAUGGGAUACAAAAAGACAUUCAUAAGAGGAAAGAUUAUAGCUCUAAGUG